rnacentral:rRNA from 1 species
GUCGAGCGGACAGAUGGGAGCUUGCUCCCUGAUGUUAGCGGCGGACGGGUGAGUAACACGUGGGUAACCUGCCUGUAAGACUGGGAUAACUCCGGGAAACCGGGGCUAAUACCGGAUGGUUGUUUGAACCGCAUGGUUCAGACAUAAAAGGUGGCUUCGGCUACCACUUACAGAUGGACCCGCGGCGCAUUAGCUAGUUGGUGAGGUAACGGCUCACCAAGGCGACGAUGCGUAGCCGACCUGAGAGGGUGAUCGGCCACACUGGGACUGAGACACGGCCCAGACUCCUACGGGAGGCAGCAGUAGGGAAUCUUCCGCAAUGGACGAAAGUCUGACGGAGCAACGCCGCGUGAGUGAUGAAGGUUUUCGGAUCGUAAAGCUCUGUUGUUAGGGAAGAACAAGUGCCGUUCAAAUAGGGCGGCACCUUGACGGUACCUAACCAGAAAGCCACGGCUAACUACGUGCCAGCAGCCGCGGUAAUACGUAGGUGGCAAGCGUUGUCCGGAAUUAUUGGGCGUAAAGGGCUCGCAGGCGGUUUCUUAAGUCUGAUGUGAAAGCCCCCGGCUCAACCGGGGAGGGUCAUUGGAAACUGGGGAACUUGAGUGCAGAAGAGGAGAGUGGAAUUCCACGUGUAGCGGUGAAAUGCGUAGAGAUGUGGAGGAACACCAGUGGCGAAGGCGACUCUCUGGUCUGUAACUGACGCUGAGGAGCGAAAGCGUGGGGAGCGAACAGGAUUAGAUACCCUGGUAGUCCACGCCGUAAACGAUGAGUGCUAAGUGUUAGGGGGUUUCCGCCCCUUA